rnacentral:tmRNA from 1 species
GGGGGUGAAAGGGUUCGACUUAAGCUAGUCGGAUAAAAGCAGCAUGCCGCGGACGUAAGGUUAGCCGCGUUAUCAACCCUUACAAAACAUAAACGCAAGAACACUACCCGUGUUCAGCCGUGCACCAAUGGCAACAUUGAUGCCAGCUGGCGUAUCAGUCCCACUUUUUAAUUAAGUGGGCCUCUCUUUGGGCUUGCCUGUAGCCUGAAUGUAGAGCCCUAACAGGCUAGUUCCUGCUGGUUAGCCUUUAGAAGCGGGAACGAAAUUAUUAAAAGGCUGCGCUUUAGGUGAUCCUGUUUAGCGGAGCGCCUAGAGUUAAGCGUAAAAGAUAAACUAAGCAUGUAGCGGCUCUUAUUUGGCUGCCUGAGGACCGGGGUCCAAUUCCCCGCACCUCCACCA